UUUGGUUCCUCGGCAAUCUUAUCCUGGGUGUAUAUGAUGCUAGCGUUGAUUAGUCAGUCGUCAAGCCAUCCAGGCUGACUAGUGCAGGGCCGAAUUGAUACUGUCGGAACUGAAUAUAUUGUAGGUAGCUGGAAUGCGUAGUGUAGCGGUGAAAUGCUCAGAUAUUACGCAGAACACCGAUUGCGGAGGCGGGCUACUACGAUAUGAUUGACGCUGAGGCACGAAAGUGUGGGUAGCAAACAGGAUUAGAUACCCUGGUAGUGCACACUGUAAACGAUGAUAACUAGAUGUUCGGCAGCAAUGCUGAGUGUUCAAGCGAAAGCGAUAAGUUAUCCACCUGGGGAGUACGACCGCAAGGUUGAAACUCAAAGGAAUUGACGGGGGCCCGCACAAGUGGUGGAGCAUGUGGUUUAAUUCGAUGAUACGCGAGGAACCUUACCUAGGCUAGAAUGUUACUGCAUAUACUUGAAAGGGUAUAGUCCUUCGGGACAGGAAACAAGGUGCUGCAUGGUUGUCGUCAGCUCGUGCCGUGAGGUGUUGGGUUAAGUCCCGCAACGAGCGCAACCCCUAUCUUUAGUUGCCAACAGGUCAAGCUGGGGACUCUAAAGAGACUGCCUUCGCAAGGAGCGAGGAAGGUGGGGAUGACGUCAAGUCAUCACGGCCCUUACGUCCUGGGGUACACACGUGCUACAAUGGCUAUUACAGAGGGCAGCUACACAGCAAUGUGAUGCUAAUCUUCAAAAAUAGUCUCAGUUCGGAUUGGGGUGUGCAACUCGACCCCACGAAGCUGGAUUCGCUAGUAAUCGCGCAUCAGCAAUGGCGCGGUGAAUACGUUCCCGGGCCUUGUACACACCGCCCGUCAAGCCAUGAAAGCUGGGAGUAUCUAAAGUCGGUAGCCGCAAGGCGCCGCCUAGGGUAAAACCGGUGAUUGGGGUAAGUGUAACAAGGUAACC
rnacentral:rRNA from 1 species